UACAGAGGUCUCAAGCGUUGUUCGGAUUCAUUGGGCGUAAAGGGUGCGUAGGUGGCGCCGUAAGUCAGGUGUGAAAUUUCGGAGCUUAACUCCGAAACUGCAUUUGAUACUGCGGUGCUUGAGGACUGGAGAGGAGACUGGAAUUUACGGUGUAGCGGUGAAAUGCGUAGAUAUCGUAAGGAAGACCAGUGGCGAAGGCGGGUCUCUGGACAGUUCCUGACGCUGAGGCACGAAGGUCAGGGGGAGACGAAACUGGG
rnacentral:rRNA from 1 species